rnacentral:lncRNA from 1 species
UUAGCACAAUAUAAAACUAUUUAACGUCAUCAGACUUAUGUAAGAAAGUGUUCGGCAACAAUGUAAAAAAAAUCAAUUAUGAGAAAAUCGAUGUUUGGACAUAUAAACUAUUCAGAAAGAAAUGAAUGUAUGAUUGAACAAUAAGAUAUUGCCAGACUUAGUGGCAGACUUAUGUAAGAAAGUGUUCGGCAACAAUGUAAAAAAAAUCAAUUAUGAGAAAAUCGAUGUUUGGACAUAUAAACUAUUCAGAAAGAAAUGAAUGUAUGAUUGAACAAUAAGAUAUUGCCAGACUUAAGCCACUGGGUUGUGUCCCCUUCAUUCGCUUCACGUGCACGUCUUUAUUGUUCCCAAGUAGCUUCAAUCUAGAACCUUCAAGCCACGACGCCUUGAGACAUAAUUCUACAUCCGAUCCUAUGAUACUAUGGUACCCGAAAAAAUGAUAAAAAAUUUACACAUCAGACAUAAGCAUGGAAGAUAUAAUUUGUUUAGUAAUGAGUUAUGAUUUUAUUUGCACAUAAAC